rnacentral:rRNA from 1 species
AUACGGAGGAUGCGAGCGUUAUCCGGAUUUAUUGGGUUUAAAGGGAGCGUAGGUGGGAUAUUAAGUCAGCUGUGAAAGUUUGGGGCUCAACCUUAAAAUUGCAGUUGAUACUGGUUUCCUUGAGUACGGUACAGGUGGGCGGAAUUCGUGGUGUAGCGGUGAAAUGCUUAGAUAUCACGAAGAACUCCGAUCGCGAAGGCAGCUCACCGGGCCGGAACUGACACUGAUGCUCGAAAGUGCGGGUAUCAAACAGGAUUAGAUACCCUGGUAGUCCGCACAGUAAACGACGAAUACUCGCUGUUUGCGAUACACGGUAAGCGGCCAAGCGAAAGCGUUAAGUAUUCCACCUGGGGAGUACGCCGGCAACGGUGAAACUCAAAGGAAUUGGCGGG